rnacentral:rRNA from 1 species
CCUACGGGAGGCAGCAGUGAGGAAUAUUGGUCCAUGGGCGCGAGCCUGAACCAGCCAAGUAGCGUGAAGGAUGACUGCCCUACGGGUUGUAAACUUCUUUUAUAAAGGAAUCAAGUGAGGCACGUGUGCCUUUUUGUAUGUACUUUAUGAAUAAGGACCGGCUAACUCCGUGCCAGCAGCCGCGGUAAUACGGAGGAUCCGAGCGUUAUCCGGAUUUAUUGGGUUUAAAGGGAGCGUAGAUGGGUUUUUAAGUCAGUUGUGAAAGUUUGCGGCUAAAACGUAAAAUUGCAGUUGAAACUGGCAGUAUUGAGUACAGUAGAGGUGGGCGGAAUUCGUGGUGUAGAGGUGAAAUGCUUAGA